UUUAAAAUUUAUGGGUUCUUCUGACCUUUCUGAGAAUUUAUGUACUUCUUUGAAUAACGUACAUGUAGAAGAAUCCAUGGGAUUUAUAAUUGAUACUUGGCUAUAUCAUAAGAGUGUCUUAUUUAAUACAUGUGGCAGAAAUACUUGUGUUAAAUGGAUGCAUGACCAAUAUUUUAUAAUUUCUUUGGCAUGCACAUGUUUGGACUACCUUAUUGACAAGAUCGCAUUGUAAAUUUCAUUACAUAGUGCAUCUAAGAGAGGUUGUUAUUGGACAACUCUAAGUAAGCAUAAAUUUUAUUGGGAUGAUGAUGUCCAUAUGCUUUAUAAAAGAGUAUUUACACCUAUUAGGCUUAAUUGGAUUAAGUGGACACAUGGUCACUAUCUUAUUUUAUUUCUACCAUUUUUUCAUAUUAGUGGAUGCCACUUACUAGUGCGUGACUUUUUUUUCUUGCAAGGUCGAAAUUCGAGGACGAAUUUUCUUCAAGAAGAGGGAAAUUAUAGCAUCCUAGGAAGCUAAAAUCUAUUCAAGGACAAGAAUGAAGCUUUGGAAUCUGAAAGAGGGCCUUUAACAAAAUGUCAAGCUAAAGAGUUUCAAAACAAAGUCAUUAGACUUCAAGUGCAAAUAAAAAAGUUAUUAAUUGGGAUGGAGAGUUCAAGGAUAAAGGAUAUGAGUUGUCUAGAUAUUAUAAUUAUUUUAUGGUCCAAAUUCAUGUCCAAGAAAAGGUGGAUUAGAUCUCAAGAGACAUCCUCUGAAGAAGGUCCAAAUCAGGCCAUUAUUGGACCUAUUUGGCACCUAAAAAUGUGUCCAAACUUGCAGCCCAAUAAGUCCUACAUGAAGCCAAAUUUUUAUAACAUAAAAAGGAUUUACUUGCUGCCCAAACAAGGUUCAAUAGGCGUGAUAGAAGUUGGGUACAAGUUGCUUGCAAGUUGCCUCCAAGAUUUCCAAGAUCCUAUCCAUGAUUGGUUUGCGACUUUCAAGAUUCUGUCCAAGAUUGGUUUUAACUUAUUUUCAUAUAUUUUGGUACUAGAUUUAUUGCUUUCCUAGGUAGUUAAGGUUAUGUUUUUCUUUUUCUAAGAUUGUUGGAGUAACUUUCCAAGAUUGACUUGGUUUUUGUUUCCUAGUAUUUUUUCUUUUCCUAAGGUAUUUGGACUUGUUGUCCAAAGUAGUUUAGGACUUUAUUUCCUUAUUUUUAGGUAGGAAUUUCGUGACCCCCUCUCUAUAUAAAGGGGUAUCUUCUUUGUUUUUAGAUUUUAGAUUAUUAUAGACAAUAUCAAUAAAAAUUAUGAGAUUUUUCUUGCACUCUUGUGUGUGACUACUCUUGGAUUUAUUCUUCAACCUUCAAGACUCAACUUAAGGUGGUAAUAUUAAACUCUUUCGAAAUCUUAGAUCACUACUAGGUAUUCAAGAAAGGUGAUAAGUUUAGGCUUAUUGUUGUUCUUGUUAUUCUAAAGAGUCGGGUUUCACAAUCUAUCUCUUGUUUUUAAUUCUCUACCAAAGACGAUUAGUUCUUUGUUAGCUAAUUGUUGUUGUUAGGAUUCAACUUCAAGAAUAGACUUCUUGAAUUCAAGAAACUUUUUCUUGAAUUCAAUCUAUCUUUAAUUUUCCGUUGUUUUUUUGUUUCUUUAUUUUCUUUUAGCUUCCGCACGUUUUUUGAUUUUCUUUAGUAAUUCUUGGACCCCUAUCGUGUUGUUAUCAUAAGAUCUGUUGUUGCUUCUUCUGCCUGGAUGCUCUCCUCAUCUUUAUACCUGUUGUUAUUUUUACUUCCUGUUUUCUCAAAAAUUAGAUUAGUGUAAUGAACAAAUUUAGCAGCAAACUAAGACAGAGUAGAAAGAGUGUCUAGUAAAUUUUUGAGAGAAUUCAAGUCAGGCUCAUAGUAUUAUGCACAAUAAAUUGCCAUAAGUAACAUCAAAGAGGUAAGUAGAAAUUCAUUAGCUAAGAGUAAGAACCAUAUCAAACAUACCCAACCUAGUCAAAAUACGGAAGUUUGGGUGUUCGAGUCUGUCCUUUCCUCAAUCAAUAUAGCCAACCAUCGCUAGGUGAGGCUGUUCUUGAAGUUUCAGCUACCAGAGAAGAUAAUUUUCAGCUGGGAAUUUUACCUUGGAUGAAGCUCUGACCUUUGAGGGAAGAGAUGCUCAGAACGUG
rnacentral:lncRNA from 1 species